rnacentral:rRNA from 1 species
CCUACGGGUGGCAGCAGCCGCGGUAAUCCGUAGGUCCCGAGCGUUGUCCGGAUUUAUUGGGCGUAAAGCGAGCGCGGGUGGUUUAUUAGGUCUGGUGUAAAAGGCAGUGGCUCAACCAGUGUAUGCAUUGGAAACUGGUAGACUUGAGUGCAGGAGAGGAGAGUGGAAUUCCAUGUGUAGCGGUGAAAUGCGUAGAUAUAUGGAGGAACACCGGUGGCGAAAGCGGCUCUCUGGCCUGUAACUGACACUGAGGCUCGAAAGCGUGGGGAGCAAACAGGAUUAGAUACCCCGGUAGUC